GAGGGGGAAAAGGUUAAAAGAUGAUGAUGGAGGGGUGACAACAAGCGAAAAAUCUGGUUAUAUUCUUUGCUUCAAGAAUGUGUGCAAAUCUUAGUUGGAAUUGAAGAAGAGAGAAGCUGAGAGAGAGAGAGGGGCGUGCACUGGAAACCAUCAUAACAUUCUCUUUGCUUCAAAAGAUUUGGAGGGCGUGCUGUGGCAGGCGCACUCAUCAUCACCCUCACCAUUAACGCAUCAAUUCUUUCCCCCCAAACAGGAAAUAACUUCAACCCCCACCCCCACCAUUAAUAUAAUUAAUUAACAAAGUUACUUACCCUAUAAUUAAUAAACCCUAA
rnacentral:lncRNA from 1 species